GUGCACAGCAGAUCAGCAUGAAGCCGUGAAAUCCAAAUCCAUCGAUGCAUUUAGAAACAUUAAAACAGUCACGCUACGGUCACAGCGCUUUGACUGAACGGGACGCUAGCGAAGUAGCGAUGCGUGCCCUGAACCCUCCACUGUAAAACACAUGGCACCCUCGUGCCUCUCUAGUCCUCUACUUUUAUAUAACAUGGCCAGCACUCCAGUGUCAGCACAACAGUGUAGGAGGGAGAGACUGGACUCGGAAAUCUUGUUGGAGUGGGAGGGUUGGCAAAAAAUGAAUAGAGAAAGAAAACCCACUCUUGGAUUUCUUGCCUAUGCCUCCCAUUCCUACAGUCUUUUCACUAAGCUUUAUCUCUCAUUCCUUCAUUCUGUUCUGAUAAGGAUUAAGGGUAAAUAGGGGGACUGGAGUGGGGAUCUGGGCUCAUGUAAACAUAUAAUUUCUAUAUACGGAAAAAUGGGUUCUUGCCUAUUCCACCCAUAGUCUGUGAUGUGCUUCUCUUCAUCUCUUCCCCUGUCUUCUCGUCCAUGUUCUGAUUAGUUUUUGCAGAUCCAAAUGAUGGAGAAGCUUAAGUUGAGAGAGGAGAACUACAAAUGAUGGUUGAACGAGCACGCCACAUAUUGGGGAAUUUGUAACAUGCCCAGAUCUGGAAUUAUUGUAUAUUGAUUAUUGAGAUGUGUUAUUUGUUUCAGAAAUUUUGUUCUUGAACCAGAAAGAGAAAUUUCUCCAAUUAAGUUCA